rnacentral:ncRNA from 1 species
AUAAAAACUUUGACGGAGAAAAGUAAGCAAUUAACCGCCUUUUCAGAGAGCGCAGCAUGAGCUGAAAGCUGCGUAUCGGCGGCCUGCCGAAAUGCACUCCUGAGUUGUUCGGAGGAAAUAAGUAUUCCGAAUCGGUUGCCCCGUUACAGGCAAAGCCGUGCUUGAGCGGCCGAGUAUAAAAUAGAGUGGAACCGCAGUUUUUAAUUGCCUCUGUC